GUAGUUCGGAUUGCAGUCUGCAACUCGACUGCAUGAAGUCGGAAUCGCUAGUAAUCGCGGAUCAGCAUGCCGCGGUGAAUACGUUCCCGGGCCUUGUACACACCGCCCGUCACACCAUGGGAGUGGAUUGUACCAGAAGCCGUUAGCCUAACCUUCGGGAGGGCGAUGACCACGGUAUGGUUCAUGACUGGGGUGAAGUCGUAACAAGGUAGCUGUAGGGGAACCUGCGGCUGGAUCACCUCCUUUAAAGAAAUGGGUCCUAGACCCCACACACGCCACUCGGUAAAGAAUCGGGCCUAUAGCUCAGCUGGCUAGAGCACACGACUGAUAAUCGUGAGGUCAGUGGUUCGAGUCCACUUGGGCCCACCAAAUGGGGCUGUAGCUCAGCUGGGAGAGCACCUGCUUUGCAAGCAGGGGGUCACCGGUUCGAUCCCGGUCAGCUCCACCAAAGGGAAGAGGCCCGCGCGCAGCGGGUCGGACGCUGGGGUGGAGAAGUAGGCGGCAGUAGAUGAAAAAGAGUAAAUAGAGAUUCAGAGAGUAGUAGCAGUGGUAGAUCAUUUGAAUCGAUCAUUGUAAGGAGUCCGUAGUAGUGAGUUUCUGAAUAAAGAAGCUGAGUACUACCGAUUCGCAGUAUGGAAGCGGUAUUGUUCUUUGACAGUUGAGGAAGGGAAGGCCAUGUUUGUCAUCUUGCCGAUGGCAGACCUCCAGGUGGAUGCUUGGGGAUAUAUGGUCAAGUGAAUAAGG
rnacentral:misc_RNA from 1 species